GCACUUGAAGCCAAAAAAGAGGCGUUGGUCUUGUAAACCAAAUAUUGAUAGAUUCGUCCGGGUGUA
rnacentral:tRNA from 1 species